GUAAUUGCAUUCUUGGUCUCCCGAAAAAAAACAGUCAGAGGAUCAGAGGCUACAGUCUCCAGACAUUUGCAAUUUUGGGGGCUGGACAAUGGAACUAAGCAACAGUGAAGCUACGUGUCAGUUUUAUCUGAAUAUGGAUACAGCGUCUCAAUGGCAAAUGCAGAAGAAUCGGUAUACAGAAUUUCCCAGGUGAUUGAUGACACUGUUUGUUGGUAGCCAAGGUGAUUGAAUAGUUCAUGAGGAAAUUGCGAGAAUAGGAGAGAAUUGAUGACAGUUCGCAAUGG
rnacentral:misc_RNA from 1 species